GUGCCAGCCGCCGCGGUAAUACGUAGGGUGCAAGCGUUGUCCGGAAUUAUUGGGCGUAAAGAGCUCGUAGGCGGUUCGUCGCGUCGGCUGUGAAAUCCCGAGGCUCAACCUCGGGUCUGCAGUCGAUACGGGCGGACUGGAGUUCGGCAGGGGAGACUGGAAUUCCUGGUGUAGCGGUGAAAUGCGCAGAUAUCAGGAGGAACACCGGUGGCGAAGGCGGGUCUCUGGGCCGAUACUGACGCUGAGGAGCGAAAGCGUGGGGAGCGAACAGGAUUAGAUACCCGCGUAGUCC
rnacentral:rRNA from 1 species